UUUAUACUUGAUCUGCCCACAAGUCACACAUGGCGUCCAAUAGUGAUGCUGGUUUCAAGGUCUCAGUGGAAUCACUCCAUACUACAAGAGUCAAGGAGAUCAACUAUGAUGGAGAAGAGAUAUAUGAAGGGAGACCUUCUCCCUCUCAGAAACUAAGUAAAUUAGCUCAGCAUGUUGACUUUAGAGAAGAGAGAGCUGAUGAUGAUAAUGACAAAGAAGAAGGAAACAAGAAACGAGGAGGAGGUGGAGGAGGGAGUUUCUGGUCCUACAACUAAGAAACCAAGUCAUCGCUGGCCAUGGGAAUUCACACACUCAAAACUCAAUUUUGUCUAAGCAUUGACUGAAGUUAGUGUACUGUCUGAUGUGUUACAAAUUGUUCAUAAUCAUCAUCAAUACUUGUCACUGGAUCCAGUUUAUGUUAAUAAGAAAUACACAUUACCUCCAUCAUAUCAAUACCAAAUUAAAAAGAAGGCACUUGAUGUAGCUUCCAAGAUAUUAAGAAAAGGAGCUGAGCCACCACUCAAGAGAUUAUCCAGUCAAACUGAUCACAAGUUUUACAGAGCUUUAUAUGAUUUAAAGAGAAGAUGGAUACUACGUAGAACAGCUAAUGGAGUCAGUGGAGACCUCAUCUAUAGAUCAGCUGGUUCAAUAUAUGCUCAGUCUGUUCAGUUUGAGGUUCAUAAAGGAAUUGAAGGUAUUAAUGAUAUACUGUCAGUAGUGGUACCUCAAGAAUUAAGAGGAAGGAGUGAAGUAGUUAUGUUCCUAGCAGACAGACCUAUUAAAGGUAAUGGUAUGUCACAUGAC